rnacentral:rRNA from 1 species
GCAACGCGCCACUUUUGGGAUCGGGUUAGGGAGCAGGGAGGAGAGGAGCUCGGGGCGCAGGGGAAGAAGCACGAGCGGUGGUGGUGGCACAGCAGAGGAGGGGAAGCGCAAAGAAGAGGAGGGCGCAUCCUAGGUACCGAGGUACCGCCGACGACCGAGCUCCGUCCCCUCGCCGGCUACGCCCCAGCCAACCUAGCUCCGCCCCUCGCCGCCUACGCCGCAGCCGCAGCCGCCGCCACCGUCCUCUUCUCUCCGCCACCGCCGCAGCUGGACGUUUCUCCGCUUUCCUCGUCACCACCGCCGCAGCUCGACGCUUCUCCGCGGCGAGUCCGCGCUCUGGUACCUCCGCCCUCACGGACGAAGCCCGGGGCUAGAGCCUCCCAUGCUCCGUCCCUUCCCGCUGUAACGGCCGCAGUGUCGCGCACCUCGGACUCGGGGACUACUACCCGCUGCGGUUCCGGGGCGCUGGCGCUGUCCCUCGAGGAGUAGGCGGCAGAGGCCGCCGUCGCCGCCGCCGAGCCAGGGGGCGCGGCUCCUGCUGCUGCUGAACCUGUCCCAUGAACGGUACGACUGUCUUUUAAGUCUGGCCACGGCUCUAAAGAACAGCGCUCCUUUAGUGCCCUCCUACUCUACUUGGGCCUGCUCCAGCGACGUCAGUAACCGCGGAGGAGGCGGCGCCCUCCGGUUCCCACUCUCCUUCCUCCGCAGCAGUCGAGGUCUUCCUGGCCGUCGGGAGGAGCAGUUGCCGUAUACGGCUCCAGCGACGACCACGGCGACUGAGGCGUGGUCGGAGGAAGUAGAGGGUUGGUUCCGGUCGAGUUGGGGAGUUCUUCUCGUCCCUACGAGAGAAAGAUGUGGGUCGCAGGUGUGUUGGUCUAGCUGUUCCCAAACCUACCGGACUACUCUCGUCGGGUCAUCAACAUGGAGACGUUGAAGCCGUUACAUAUGUCAGUAGUCAUGGUAGAGAAAUGGCGUGAAAAAUGUAAAGUAAAAAAACUCAACAAACUAAGUAAAAGAAAAGGUUGACUUAGUUGAGAGCUCCACCUGCGUAUCGAGAGAUAUUCUUCUAGUUAGUAGCUACUGAAUGACUAAAUGUUCCUCUUUUGUCUAACCCCCCUAUUCUCCGAUAACCACAAAUAAGGGGGAGGCGAGGGGACGCGGCGAGGGAGAGGAGGCUGGUACCCGUCGUCGUCAGUCUCUUGGUCCCCGUCGACCAAAGUUGCCCUUCGAUGCAUGAAUAUACGGGGGUGGUUAAAGUUGCCUCUUUAUACUGGUCGCUGUUGAUGAUUAUAGUCCACCUAGGUUCCAAUAUACUAAACAUGUACCGCCACAAUGACUUGUCUUCCUCCUUAGUGGUUGUCGGGAAGACAUCAAGGUUCCUUCACGAGUUGGAUCUGCAACAACCGGCUUCCUCCCCGCCUCGUCCACGGUCAGUCCAUCCGCCGAGUUACCCACCCUCUACCGUCGACGGCUAGAGUGUACCGAGGACGCGGGGUGAUGGGAGGGGAGGGGCCGAUUCAUCCUCCAAGCUCCCGUCGCUGAUUCCUUCCUCGUGUAGCCGCUACUCCCGAUCGUUGUCGUUCUGCGUUGACAGUCCACGACAGCUAUACGGUGGUGCAGCCGGGGAAGUGCGCGCUGGCGGCCCCGAGUCUAGCCGCUCUGGGCACGGUUACGUACUCUCAGGUACCAUAGUAUGCUAAACUUCAACUUUUUAAGUACGAUACACACUAUGCCUUUUCAGUAACGGAAGAAACGACCUUGUAAAGGAUUCUACUAGAUUCCACCUCGUCGAUACUUAUAGGAGCGACUAGAUACCUAGAUAGUAACAUUCUCAGUUACUAUAUACCACUCGACGGAGUGUGGUAGUAAACCAGAAACAUCGUAAACUCAACCGUUUAAACAACCUAAGUACGCUAAUCCGUACCAUUCACGAGUCUCUGGGUAUCGAGAUAUUAACAAACGAAGGUUUUCAAGACUUAGAAAAGACGCGGACCAGGAGAGUAACCACUCUCAUCGGUACAUUUAGUUAGACGAUACCCUUUACCCUCAAACGUUUGAUGGCCUCAGAUUAACGACUCCCUGCUCCAAGCAUUGACUCCCAGUACACGUCUCGACCUCCUUCUUCAACGCUCCGAACCUUGAGAGGAACACUUCCCGAGUCCCUGUCGUCACUCCUGUUAGGGAGAAAUCAACAUUAACACUAUGAGGACUACACGUUCAUUAGUGAGGACACUAUGAGGAAUACGAUUUUACAACCAACCUCCGCGCCCCAGGUCCUUCCGAAAACCCACCCGGCCCCCACAACCUCCGACGACAGGCCUGAGGGCGUUGGGGUGGGGGGGAGGAUAAACAGAGCCCAAACGGCCCUUUUCAUGCGGGCCUGGUGAGCCGCCUGGCUAUGUUAAGGUAAAACCUACCGUUUGGCGCAAGCCUGGUGCACCAGGUCUGUUAACGCCCACCAAAGUCCCAGACGCAACCUCUACAGGAGUGAAACAACAGAACGAGUAGUAGACUAAGCCGGCAUUUAAACAAGGUAGAGUAUACCGACCGGUCCUUUUCUGACAAGCGUUCCUUUUGCCACUUUUAGUGUACUUUUUAUACAAAACUUCAAGUUUAUUAAGAAGUUUUUAAUUUUACGCAUUUUCUUUAACAGAAGGUAUGCUGUUUAUUUUAAAGUUUGAGUUUAUGUUUAAUUAGUGGAGACAUUUCCUCGACCUCAUGGGCAGAGGACCCUCCGAAGUGCCCGUUCUCACCGGGGGCACGGCAGUUAAAAAUCCACCGCACGGCACUCCCGGAGAGCCCCGGAGAAGCACAGCAGGCUAGAAAGAUCUGUCUCAUGUAGGCCUGCCGGGCAGAGGUGCCAUAUACUGCCCACCUGGCGUACGUGCGAACCGGUGUCAGUAUACCACAGAAAGCAGCGGCUCUGUGACAUCGAACGAGCAGUCUUAUAUGAAUCAUAAGGUAAAUGUCUUGAACGCGACUUGUACACGACGUGCCGGUGCUCGGCUGCUGCUUAGCUGACCAGCUCGGAUAUAUAUAUCCGAUCGAUCUCGCGUGUUGUGUUGAUGUUUCUUGUGGCCUAACUUCCAUCACACUUGGUCACUCUCUACCGAGCCGCCCAAUGACCGAAUGGGGCCAGCCGCACGAAGUAGAGAAACGAGUAUCAUGAUGAUGCUGUCCAGUGACGGCGCCUCUGUCACUUUCACUCGUGGUGCGGCCAUAAGGGAAGUUAGGGCACCCCCGUUCUCUUGCUACUAAAGCUCCACGACCACGCACACCUCCGCGGCGGCCUCCGUUCGUCCGCUAGGGGGCAGCUGGAUCACCGGCACGACCUAUAGUCGUCGUCGUACUUAUGAGCCCGCCGCGGUAGGCUACUCAGUAGCUCCGACCUAGACGAGUUUGCUCGCUACUUCAAGUAGUAGCCCUUCGAGCUGUCGCCUCUGGCGGAUCGAUAGCACCGCAAGUUGUUGGUUUAGCAGCUUCUCAUACCGUGGUCCAAUGACCUGUACAGCAGGCCACCGGCCUCUCUACAUUCUUCCGCCCAGCUACUCGACUGCCGCGCGCCGAGGUGCCGCAAGGCCGGCCCGGACACAUUCCGCCACUUCUAGGAGCUGCUCUCUUCACUGCCUUCCUUGGCACGGCCGAAGUAGAACAAGGACAGCCUACCUUUUCUGUUCUCUCCUUAGUUCACCUCGUACCUUCAGCCCUAGUCGCGGCGCGAGGCCUUCAUGGGGCAGGUAUGGAAGCCGAAGUCGCCCAGAGUGUUUGGGUUGCGCGACGAGAAGUAGCGGGUCCUCAGCGCCCCUUGGAUGAGGAAGUAGUUGCUCUUGGACCGGUCGUAGUGGUCGCGGAAGCGGCAGACGGACCCGCCCGAGUUCUCGCAGCAGCGGCAGCUGCUCGCGUAGUCGGAACACCGGGGCUUCGUACCGCCCCACGUCGAGUUCUCGUAGCUGAGGCCACCCAUGCCCUCGGUGUAGAGGCCUCUGCCCCGCAGCCCGCUCUAGCACUAGCCGCGCUACAUGCGGCCGCUCCACUUCUUGAAGUAGCAGGCGGACGUGCACGGCAGCCACCUAGACCUGUAGCCGUUACCGUUUCAACGGCAGAGUUUCGUGGUCGAGGACGAGUGCCGGUGUGCGGUGAACGUACGACAGUUACCCCAACCCCUCUUGCCGCCGUCGCGUAGUGACAGUCAGGUUUCCGGGCCUCGUGACCGGCACGUCGUCGUUCAGCAACGUAGGCGGAACCAUCACUUGGUGUAGCAGGCCAAGUCCAACCACCUCUACCACCGGUUCAAGCAGGUCCCGGACCUGUUCCAGCAGCGGUGGUAACUAGCGCAUUCCGGCUGCUCAACGUCCCCUCCACCCUCCUUAAGUUCCUUCGCGUGUUCAAAACCCCGCCGCAACUCGACACCGCAAAGCUCCGGCUGUAGUUUCACUACCACUGGCCGGACGACGUACCGCCGCCGGCUAGGCCCCACCGUAUGGAGAUGAGUACCCACAGGUCGAUGGUCUACGUCGCCCGCUGCUGGUACCCGAGGUGCCUCUUCCAGCGGCGGCUCAAGGAGUGCGCCCUCUACCCAAAGUACGACUUGCUCCGCGUGUUUUGAGGCCAAACCGAACACCUUCUUCUCCUGGGCAAACAGGAAGCGUCGCUGUGGUGACUGCUCUGGCUUCGUGGCGCACCGACGCCGUCCGCGCAGGUACCGCAGGUUGUACUGCACUAGCUGGGCGCCGAUGUCUACACCAGGUUCGACUUCGCGCUCCACGGCGAGUACAAGGCCGUCAGCCUUCUUUGGCUCAGGGCGGUAGAGUGGCGGCAGAAGGCGCUCCGCAGGGAGCUCUGGUAGUUGGCUCGUUACGUGGUGCUGUAUAUAGACCGGCACCACGUGCUGGCGUCGGACUCUGCUACGAUGAGGCCGUUGCGCAGCCUCGUCGCGCACCUUACGUGCAGUUGGUGGCUGGGUACGAUCGAGUUCGUGGCUGCACAAAAGUGAAACUUAAACGUAAAGGAAAAAAGAAAAGAAGUAAACGUUAACAUGAAACGGCACAGAAAUAAGAACUCCUGGGGAGGAGGAUGGUCAAUGACCACCUCAACACCUCUCGGCUUAUAAAAAGAAAAACUCAGUUAAUGUGGUGAUCAGGUAUUUGUACUGCUCUUUUUAAUAAAAUCACGAUUUUGAACACCGUAUGUCCCUUGCCCACAAUCUUGAACCGAGCCUGCUACGUUUAACACAAACCUAUACUUUUGUUACA